rnacentral:rRNA from 1 species
UACGGAGGGUGCGAGCGUUGUCCGGAAUCACUGGGCGUAAAGGGCGCGUAGGCGGCCUGAUAAGUAGGGGGGUGAAAUCCUGCGGCUUAACCGCAGGGCUGCCUUCUAAACUGUCAGGCUGGAGCACAGUAGAGGCAGGUGGAAUUCCCGGUGUAGCGGUGGAAUGCGUAGAGAUCGGGAAGAACAUCAGUGGCGAAGGCGGCCUGCUGGGCUGUUGCUGACGCUGAGGCGCGACAGCGUGGGGGAGCGAACAGG